GAAGGAGUGGCUUGGUCCAACCAGGCAUUUUACACAGGUGAAUGGUUGCCAUGGGAGAUUAGAGGAUUUCUCAAACAUGCAUGAAAGAGUCCAGGCAACACUCUCCAGGUAUGGUUUUGUUUAGGGAAUGACAUUAUAACAUGAUAUAA